rnacentral:rRNA from 1 species
AUUGAACGCUGGCGGCAGGCCUAACACAUGCAAGUCGAACGAGUGGCGGACGGGUGAGUAUUGUCUGUGAAACUGCCUGAUGGAGGGGGAUAACUCCUGUAAACGGUAGCUAAUACCGCAUACCCUAGGAUGUUCCCAGAGGGGAUUAGCUAGUAGGUGGUGUAAAGGCUCACCUAGGCGACGAUCCCUAGCUGGUCUGAGAGGAUGACCAGCCACACUGGAACUGAGACACGGUCCAGACUCCUACGGGAGGCAGCAGUGGGGAAUAUUGCACAAUGGGCGAAAUCCUGAUGCAGCCAUGCCGCGUGUAUGAAGAAGGCCUUCGGGUUGUAAAGUACUUUCAGCGGGGAGGCGUUACCCGCAGAAGAAGCACCGGCUAACUCCGUGCCAGCCGCCGCGGUAAUUC